UCAAAAAUAGCUAUAUACUAAGCAUUUUUUAUUUGUUUUACUUUAUUUAAAGCCUAUUGUAUAUUAUCCCGAGGUUUCAUUCCAUAAAAAACAGAAAUAAGGAAAUUCGAUAUUUCGUGUACCAUCAGCAUCCAAAUUUUCAAGUAUACAGAAAUUUAACUUUCCGGAAUAUAACGGAAAUUUUUGGGUAUCUCCGUGGUACCAUCUCCGUGCAAUUAUGCAGUAUGGCGUUCAUCUCUUACGGAAAGAGAAUGGUAACUUGGUGGACCGGCAGUGCUGAGUGAAUGCAGUGUUAUUGUUUUUGCGCUGAAAACAGGGAAUGGGCCUAACCUAGGAUGUCCCCAGGGGCAUUUGACGGGGAUCUGGUCAUUUCGUAACCUUACCAUUUCGUUACUGCUGAAUCUUGGUUAUUUCGUAACCAUUUUGUCAGUCAAUUCGUAACCGUCAAGAAAUCAAUUGCUCAUAUGGUAACCACCAUUUAACAAGGUGAUAAAUAGUACACUUAGCACCUCGUUAAGUGUAUUGUUUGAACCUGGAUGUAUAUGGCACAGCAACCAAGACACCAAUUGGAAGACAUUACUCAAAUUCUCACUAGUAACAAGCCAAUAAUUUAUGUUACUCAAUAGUUAUUAGAUAUAUAUAUAUAUAUAUAUCAUGCUAAAUUAGAAAUGAUUUGUUAUACUACCAAAAUAUGUUAAUUAUUUUCUUACAUUUUGCUUACUUAUAAACAAUAAUUUAAGACUGAUCGCGAUGUAUUUUUGAGUAAAAUUACGUGUCAAAAUAAUUCUGUGUAUUAGGAAUUCGCGAAUCACGUGUCACUUUGUUUUGACAGCCGGUACGUUAUUAAAUAUUACACCUGUGAUGUUAUGUUAACACGAUAAUCGAUAAUGAUGAUUGCGCUGUGGAUUGACUGUCGCGCGAUAAUCAAACGAUAAUCAAACUUGUGAAAAGAAAAUUGAUUAAAACAUUUAUUUGUUUGUUGCAGAAAAUAAAGAACUAGAAACGUUUUUUUAGUGAUCAUUUUGAAGGGUUGUUUUAUCUAAAGACUUCUAUGAUUGAAUCAAAUUAGAGCGGUGCUUUAAUUAAACUAUCAAACAUACUAAACAAGCAUUAAAUUAAGUUUGAUUGCAAUAUAAGUUGUAUUUAUCAAUCAAGUAAAAAAUGACAUUUAUAUUUCCAUAAUAACCUGGUAGUUAUUUGUUAAUUUGUUUUAAUUCAUGGAUAGGUUUAUUGCGAGUGUCAUGGAUAGCUGGAACUUUUCAGUACACAACAUGCAAACUGAGAAUGAACUGUGUGUGCCGGCUUUGUGAACAAAAACGCAAGGCGGCUAUGUUGCUGCUUGGGACAAUAAAGUUAAGUCAGCAACCGUCUACCAGACUGCAAGAUUCAUCUCUUCCAAAGGAUGUCGUACCUUUCCAGAUACACUGUGUUUUGUGUGGAUAGGAAAUGCAGAGUGGUACCACCAAUCACCUAAGCCACCAUUCCCCUAACAGACAAUAGGCUCAUGGGGACAGUUCCUGCAAUUUACAGAAAAGCUCUCAAUUGUAGCCCUACGAACAUCAGAUACUGCCGAUGGUGAAGCUUGGGUGCACCGGGCCGGUUUUCCAGCCGUGUGGAAUCAACAUCUCCAGCUGAACUGGGGCCGGGAAUUAUAUAAGACUCCUUAGCAGCAUGAGUGCCAGCCAGUCAUUGCUGUUCUUUGCAUUGCUGAGGAGGACAGUCCUGCCAACAUAACAGUUUGUUCAAUAACAGGAGACAAACAAAAACACAGAGGUGCUAUACAUUCUGAUGGAAAAACAAAAGCAUCUCCCAUCAUUUUGGCGUGGCUCAGAUCAAGAGGAGAAUUUUAAGAAAGGUGAUGGUUGGGCACACACAAGAAGACAUAGAUCACAGGUGUCUAGCCAUAUGAGUAGAUAGGAGUGUCACACUCUGCCAAACUUACUUCAUCAGACGAGCAGAAAGCUUCUCAAGAUCCCUAACUGCACACUAAGACAUAGUCUUUGACUUCAACAAGGUGAUGAAAGUACAGAGAGGUCCAAUUGAAAUCAAUUCUGUGCUGCGUCAUUUCUUCAUUCUGGAAGUCGAUGGACGUGAUUUAUCAUGGCAUAAAGUGUGCAGUUUGCCGACUAUCAGCAGUCUUGUUCACCAGUUGUGCAACUUGAGCUGGUAGCUUUAUUGCUUGAAGCCACUGCAUAAGAGGGGGAAGGUGCAGGCUCAUCAAAAAGUCUCAAAAGUUGAAACUAGGAAAAGAAGUUUAUCAAGAGUGUGAAUCUAUUUUGAAAACAAUCGUUACAAUGAUUUGGUUUCCUUUGAAACUUGAUACAUACUAUGAAUUGAGAUGCUUAAAUAAAAAACCGCUAUUCAAAUAUCAGGAAACUGCCUUUUUCAUACUAAAGGGUAAAUGAUGUCGCCAUUUCCUGUAUGUAUUUAAAUAAGAUAUGUCUCCACAAUUAAUAUUUUUAGGGAAUUUUUCUCAACCUAAUGACUGAGAUUAAAUUGUACAGCGUCAUAUGAGCUUAAUAUGUGUUUUCUCAUUCUUUAAAAUUGGUGAAAAAUUGUCAGAAGAUAAUUAGACCAGUAUCCAUUACUGCAAUCAUACAAUCAAAUAUACAGGGACAAGCCCACUGGGCAUAUAAUAUAAUUAAACCCUGUUCAGGGGCACGAGGCAAACAUAGUUACUUUCAAACGUUAAAGCUGCACUCUCACACUUUAGAUGUUUUGACAACCUUUUUCAUUUUAUGUCUUGGAUUGGAACCAUCCAAUUUUUGCGAAAAAUUAAAUCCCAGAUUUUUCUAUUUAAGUUAAAACAUUGAUGUUUUUUAUGCACUUUUCUUAAACCGUUAGUAACAUUAAUUUUCGAACGGAAAUAUGAAAUCUGCGAUCUGAUCUUUUGUCAGCAAUCUUUUAUCAUUGGUUUGCAGAUAAUUACGCAAAAACUUAAUCAUUCCAAGACAAAAAAAGUUGUGGAAACAGUAUAUCUGUGAGAGUGCAGCUCUAAAUGUUUAAUUGCUUGAUUUUACUACUGUAUUAGAAAUUACAGGGAUUGGGGUAUAUUUUUAGUGUUUUUAUUGCUUGUUUUUGAUUCAUACAGUCAUACUUUAUUCUUCAGGGCACAACUUACAAAUAGACAAAACUGGAAAAUGGUCAUAUCAAAAGGUCAAAGAUAAUGCAAGUUGAACAAUCAUAUUGUUCAUGGCUUGUAUUUUUGGUAUAUUUUGUUUCAUAUGCUAUAGAAAAGUUGAAAGUUAAAAGUAAAUUCAUAGUUGAAAUGAUGGCUUUGAAUGGUAUUGUCAGAUGAGAAACGGCACUAUUAAGAAAUAGGUAUAAUGGUACUUUAUUUAUUUUAAUCAAUUUUAGAUAUUAUGAAUUUUUUUUAUCUUAUUUAGUACAUGAGACCUUUUAAACAGUUAUUGACAAUAUAACAAUGUGUUACAGUAUAUGAAGCUUUAGAUCAACACUUAAAGCUGCACUCUUACAGAUUGUCAGUUUAGACACAAAAUUGUCUCAAAAUCGGCUGAUUUGGUUAUCAUUCCUUUAAUUCAGUCAUAUUAGAUAAUUCACAAUAGAACCAAUCAAAAAUGUUUGGUAAAACUGCCGAAAAGUUUAUUUACAUUAAAUUGUUCGUAAUGCUUUUAGUCAUUGUUCGUAAUGCUUUUAGUCAUAAAACAUCAUUUUUUUAACAUAAAUAUGAUGAACUGCAAUCUGAUCUUUUUUCAGCAGUCUAAUAUCACUUAAAAUUGGGUCUAGACAUUUCUGCAAAAAAAACUCCAUUCAUAGACAAACAAUAAAAGAGUACCGGUCAAAACGAUCAAUCGGUGAGAUUGCAGCUUUAAAUACACCUUUUAAGACCGCUGUAAAAUUCCAAUGGUUUGCCUAAAUCUUUAAAGCUAGCAUACUGUUUAAUUGACAACCAUACUUAUUGUUUAAAAGUGUCAUGAUAUCUUUGUACAAUGUUUUUAUAUAAUUCAUUAAAGAAGUCAAAACAAAUUUGUUUAUCUUGUAAUUUGUUAUCUAUUAUUUAAAUGACUCAGACAAAAAUGGGAACGUCAGUGCUAGU